rnacentral:rRNA from 1 species
GCAGCCGCGGUAAUACGUAGGGGGCGAGCGUUGUCCGGAAUGAUUGGGCGUAAAGGGCGCGUAGGCGGCCCGUUAAGUCUGGAGUGAAAGUCCCGCUUUCAAGGUGGGAAUUGCUUUGGAUACUGAUGGGCUUGAGUGCAGGAGAGGAAAGCGGAAUUACCGGUGUAGCGGUGAAAUGCGUAGAGAUCGGUAGGAACACCAGUGGCGAAGGCGGCUUUCUGGACUGAAACUGACGCUGAGGCGCGAAAGCGUGGGGAGCAAACAGGAUUAGAUACCCC